UUUUUAUGGAAUGGAUAGUUCUAAAAAUCAAAUGUUCCUAGAUUUGGCUUUGAGAUAUCCAAGAUUCAUACCAAGAAGAGCAAAUGUCUCAUAUUGAGGCAUAAGAAGAAGAAGACGAGCAUUCAUAUUACUUCAAAUGCCACAACAUAUCAUAUUACUUCCUGCAAAAACAACAACAAUAACAGCCAAAAUUCUAUGUAGCUCCUAAUCUUCAAAUGCCACAACAUAUCAUAUCACUUCCUGCAAAAACAACAACAAUAACAGCCAAACGUACAUGUUAGCACUCCAAAUGACAACAACAACUAGCAGCCAAACACCAGUUAGCACACCAAAUAAUCUUGUCCCAUCAUGCUUAUCUAAACUCAGAUCAUU
rnacentral:lncRNA from 1 species